AGUUCAAAGAUGACUUUACGACAAUACUUCAGAUUGAUUUUCUGUCUAAUAGGAUUCAACGCCAGAGGAGAGCCAGUGUCUUUAAGUAUGAAAACCAAUACGGUUUCUAAUGAUAGAGAUAUAAUAUUGACUUGUACAUUCGGUGGGAUAAAGACCAUCGACAUAAAAACAAUGAGACAGUGGUCCAUGGGAGAUGAUGACGAACUUUUGUGCUACAACGGCCGAAAAAGUAAUAAAACAAAGUACGAAGAAAAGGUUUUUCCAAUGAAUGAAUUUAGUCUUACCAUAUGCAAUGUAACAGAAUCGGAUCUCAACGUAGUUUACAAAAUGUCGUUAUGGAUUUGAUGCAGCAAGUAAAUUAAUUGAAACAGAUGAACCUCAAAUAUUUUAUGAUUCCCAGCUAGAAAAAUGAAGCAGUCUACAAAUGAUAAAUGUGCACUUAUGAUUUGUAGGAAAUAUAGAUGUCAAUUGCUUGGUAGUUGCUAGUUAUGAAAUAGUGGAUGAAUUCAUAAUUUUGUGUAUGUUAUUCGUUGUUUUUGGACAAAUGAAUAGCUCAAACAGCAUUGUACAGUACCAUGAAGUUAUGUUGGGAUUAAACUGGACAAGAAGCAAAUAGUGCAUUGAAUAAAUAGCAAACUAAUAAUUUGUUAGAAAGAUCAUACAACUGGAUGGCUGUUAAUACCUCGGAUAAUUAUUCAUUUGAAAUAGCAAUUUGGAAUUAUAAGUGUGCAUAUAAUUGUAGUGCAUCAUCUGAAUUAAAUCGUGCCUUGGAUAAAUAUUCAUUUUAAAUAGCAAUUUGGAAUAACAAAAUUUCAUAGAUUCAGUGAAUAUUUAUAUUAUAGUACACCUGCAUUUUCUGAAUAUGUUGCGAUGUUUACCGCCAAUUGACUGCUUACUGUGCUUAAAGUCUAAAUGUGUACCGAUACAUGUAUUUAUGAUAAUCUUAAUUACAAAUGCACUGUUUAUAACCAAACUGGCAUUUCAUUCUGGUCUA